rnacentral:rRNA from 1 species
CCCUUAGAUGUUCGGGGCCGCACGCGCGCUACACUGAAGGAAUCAGCACGUCUUUCUCCUUGUCCGAAAGGACUGGGUAACCCGCUGAACCUCCUUCGUGCUAGGGAUUGGGGCGUGUAAUUCUUCCCCAUGAACGAGGAAUUCCCAGUAAGCGCGAGUCAUAAGCUCGCGUUGAUUACGUCCCUGCCCUUUGUACACACCGCCCGUCGCUACUACCGAUUGGAUGGUUUAGUGAGAUCCUCGGAUUGGUCCCGGAGCGGCCUCUGGUCGUGCCGGAGUGCCGAAAAGAAUGUCGAACUUGAUCAUCUAGAGGAAGUAAAAGUCGUAACA